CCCCCUUUGAGACACGUAUCUUCAGUUUUCAACUCUUUUUAAAACCUCAUAAGAGAAGACAGAGAAAGGGAGAGAGAAGGGCGGCGACCGCAGGGUCACCACCGUCACACCACCAUGACGGUCACCGUCCGGAGUCUCUGUUUUGUGGAUUUCUUGACAGUGUGGAAUGGCAUGGUUGUUGAUCUGUAAAACUUGGAACCUGCCGGAAAGUUAGUACGGUGGGAUGGUUCAUAUCCAGGCUAUUGGACAGAAGACAUGUCUCUUCUUUGUCUCUUUGCCGACGACCAACCACCCACUACCAGAGAUCCGCCACCACUCAACCGCCUGCUAAUUUUAGAGUUGUGGAUCCUAUGAGAAAAUCCAAAGGCACCUAUAAUCAUAAAUCAUGUAUCAGAUUCAAACGAAGUCACCGCAGUUCGAAGCGUCAAUGGAUGCGGCAGUGGUUGCUAUAAUCAAGUAUGUAAUUGACAUGGUCAUGGACACUAUACACCACCGUUUCCACUGCAGUCACCCCUCCUUUUCUUUUUCUUUGCAUUAAUUUAUGUUUCACUGUCCGAUGCUUCUCAAAAUAUCCACCUUUGGCGCCGACUGUUUUGCUUCGGAAGAUUGUUAGAUGUUGAGUUAGGGCUCAUAUUUGGGCACACCUGGUAUGAAUUAGUUACUGUUUUUGGAGUGUAUUCGAGCUCAUCUUUGAAGCAAAAUUAUUAUAUUCCCGUCCGCUUCAAGGCGCUUCAUUUGCAGACCAACUAUGCACUUUAUUGUAUUCUCGUCUGCUUUAACGCGCUUCAUUUGCAGAAAAAUUAUGCAUUAACGUUAGCGGAAUAUGUGAACAUGAUGCCUUGGGAUUGUAGGUUCUCACUUCUAUCUACUAUGUUUAUGUUUACAUCUUCACAUCACAGCAUUGAUCUUCUUACUACAUGUAUGAUGAAUAAAUACUUGAUAUUGGUUAAUAUUGUAAUGGAUCUCGAGUUGGGAGGUGUAUAAUUAUAGCUCUCAAGGAUAUCAUAUCAUCAUUGGUGCCCAUGCUUCAUGCAUGUAAGGUAGACUGCUUGUAAUAUAAUGGUGUUGGGUGUUUAGUCAACCAAGUGGUGAUGAUUGUUUUUAAGAUUUGUUGUUUGGUAGGUUUUAAUUUUUUUUUUCCGUUUGAACAACCAACUUUGGGUUCAUGUUGGUCAUUUGUUUUUACGGACCGUGUUGUUAUAUUGGGUUCAUGUGUUGUAAUACUGGGAUGUUGUAAAUAAAUUGAUAGUA